rnacentral:rRNA from 1 species
UACGUAGGGUGCAAGCGUUGUCCGGAAUUAUUGGGCGUAAAGAGCUCGUAGGCGGCCUGUUGCGUCCGCUGUGAAAGCCCGGGGCUUAACCCCGGGUCUGCAGUGGAUACGGGCAGGCUAGAGGUAGGUAGGGGAGAAUGGAAUUCCCGGUGUAGCGGUGAAAUGACGCAGAGUAUCGGGAGGAACACCGGUGGCGAAGGCGGUUCUCUGGGCCGUUACCUGACGCUGAGGCGCGAAAGCGUGGGGAGCGAACAGG